AGUUUGGACACCCCUGCCAUAUGGUCUCCACAUCAAAGGUCCAUUUCCCUACGAAGACCAUGCAUCCUGCCCAUCAACCAAUGGCCUCAGCAGCCAAGUUUGAUCACUCUAUGGAGGCUGUACACCCCUCCCAUCCCCACACCGCUGGCCCAUCACCAAAUGUCCACACCUAUGGUCCUUCACCCGGCGUACACAAUAGCUUGCUACCUGAAUCCACCUGAGAAUAAAAAGGCAGCUUUCCUGGCACCAGACAGGAGAGAUGCAGGCAACCCAUCUAUUGAGGACACUAUCUGUUAUCAACCACAGGCAGAAAAAUCAUGGACGCCAUGUGAUGGAAAAAAUGUGGGCAGAAAAAGAAGGAAUUGAAGAAGUCCUCUUGAAAAUAGAUCCGGUCCAAGUCAGAGUACUUCAAACUCUCUGCGACUUGGUUGGAGACAAAUACAGCGACGGCCCUCCUCAACAAUCGGGCCAGCAAGAGCUCUUUCCUGAGAGCGGCGUAUUCAUAUCAUUGUUCCGCCUUGCUGCCAUGAGACAUGCUGCAGAGCCCAAAUGUAGGCCUUUAUUUGGACCUCUUUUUUCUACGUGUCAAAAUGCUGUCCCUUUUUGACGCCCUGGAAACAAACCUGCAGGAACACCAAAGCGCAUCCUUAAGCGGAAAAAAGUGGAAGGAAUCCUUAGUAAGUUUUCCCAAACAGAGGGUGUUUUCAGGCCAAAAUUGGGUCACAAUAAUGAAAUAGAAGUUCAAUAUGAGAAAUGUUGAUCCCUUUUCGAUUACAGCAGACUGGAAGCAUAACUGAAUGUUACAUCAUUACAAUUUGUUAUCCACUCCAAACUAGCGUUAUGAUGAGCAAUAUAGUCUGAUGUCCAUCAACUUGAAGUGUGGUUGUGUGUAUUAAUGGUUUUGCGUAAAUGAAGGCAAUAAAAAAGCAUUAAAUGAGGCAUUUAAAAAAGGGAAUAUGAUUGUAGGACAUGGCGGACAGUCAAUAUGUCAAACGGUAAAGGAAAAGGAACUUAAGAAGGUUACAGUCGUUUCUUUUUUGAACUGCAUACAAGAGGUAUUGUAAGGUGGGAACACGACAAAAGCACUGCUUCAAUCAAGCAAAAUGAAACAUCAACUUUUCCAUUCUUUGGUCACUGUAGGCGUGUAGUCCUUAACUGUGACUCCAUGUCAGGAUAAUGGAGAAGCUGAGCCGACACGGAGUCGUUUAUUUCAAUCAUCUCCACUUCAACACAUAUGAGCUAACUUGCCUAACAUUAGCAACUGUUGUGACGCAAUUCCCUCAAGUGAUCUACGCUAGCCUAGGAUGGACAAAAGAGGCCAUUUUCACAGCAGACCACAACUAUUUCAUUCUCUGACAUUCCCACAAUAAAUGAAUACAAGUUCCUUCAGCUGCCGGACACUUGAUACAUACUUGCUGUUUACUGUAAACAUUUGAAACAACAGAGAGGGUGUAAAUACAAGAAAUGCAAUAUGUUUCAUUGCUAUAGCUUUUUUCAAAUGCAUUUGAUUGGCAUUUUUACCAAUAUUAUUCUGUAUUUUUCUCAAAUGUUUAAAUCCAUCAUCCAUUUCCAAACACAUGCAUCAUUUGCAAUCCUAGUAUGAUGUUCAUUUAUUUUUCCAUAAAACCUUUGAACUAUUUGAAAACAAAUUGUAUCCUGAUUAAAAAUGCUUUGUGGCUGUUAUAA